AACCAUAGAAACCUGCGGAGUACCUGCGGAAGGAUCAUUACAGAGUUGCAAAACUCCCUAAACCUUUGUGAACGUUACCUAAACCGUUGCUUCGGCGGGCGGCCCGGGUCCUUCCCGGCGCCCCUCGGCCCUCGCGGGCGCCCGCCGGAGGUAAACCAAACUAUUGCAUUGUAUGGCCUCUCUGAGUCUUCUGUACUGAAUAAGUCAAAACUUUCAACAACGGAUCUCAGAUCGGAAGAG
rnacentral:misc_RNA from 1 species